ensembl:lncRNA
ACUCAGUGUAUUCGCUAGUCUUGUUAUUGCCCGGCACAGCAGUUAUAAUAAGAGACCUUUUGACCCUGGGGGGGGGUUAUGUGUGCUGAAGUCCCACACUAUAGAACAUUAUGAAUGCUGGUUUGUCUCAAUUUUUGUUACUUUAUUAUGUGGUAAUCAAAUAUUUUUUGUGUUUGUAACAUGAGUAGACAUUAAUUACAGGUAAUAAGCCAACUAUAAGAGUAAAAAUCAUUAUUUCUACCACUGUGCAUUAUGCAGAUAAAUACGAUUUUAUUCAUUCAUUUCUUCAGCUCAAAAUCUCCCCGUUGCUUGAACAGAUCAUCAAAGUCACUUUCAGUAUGCAGAAAGAAGUAUUUACUCUGCUCAAUGUCCUGAGCAGCAAUGAUCCGGGCCAGCAGAAAUUCUUCAAUGACCUUGGAUUCACAGGGCCUGUGUUGAACUCUGUGUGUGACGUUCCUGUAGGGUUCAAUGACCAGGAGCCCAGACAUGCCUUUGGAUUUUGUCAACGAGGGGGUCUCCUGAAUAUUUCUCUGUAGGAACUCUGUAUAAGUCUUUAUCAAGCCAGGGAUACUGAGUUGAUAGUACUGGUUCAGUACAUCUACAGGGCCUUCUGGUAAGGCAGUUAGACGGAACCAAUGGAUCCGCAUGUGCAUGUGGAACGCUGCCCCGUUCAGCCACUGUUUCACGCCAGCGGAGCUCAUGCUACUCUCUAUGACCAACUUUGAAUAGAAGUUAUCCAGUUCCUGUUUAAGUUUCUCGUCAUAAUGUUUGAGGAGCUCUGCCAUCCUCUUCUUAUCAUUGGCUAUACCAGGAACUUGCUUUAGGUACUCACUGACAAUAGGGCCGAUUUCUGAAGAGUAAUCCGCUCCAAAGAUCCUCCUUAUGGGGUCUAUGUAUGACCUUUGCUCAUGGAUCUGGUGAGUCAAGACCUCAAAGAGCAGUGACAGCGCCAGCGCCACAAUACCCAGACCUCCCAGGCUCACCUUGGUGCUCCCUCCAAAUGCAGACGUCAGAUCCUGGUUAAAGGCUGUUAGUUGCUCAGCCGACAUGUUCUGCUGGAUGGCUGCAUAUUGAUGUUCCAGAGCAGCAGUGGAGUUGCGGGAUAGGAAGUUGGUGAGGGUUCUGUCCAGGGAGAUGUCAGGAACGAUGCCUGCAUGGCUGGCUACCUCAAACAGACAGUUUAUAGUUUCUGAAGAUGGACUGCAUGCUUUGUUACCCAUGUUUGGGCUGUGCUGUCUGUCUAACACGCUCCUCUUUCCUAAGACUUGUCGAAUACUGCCUGUUUAUUUAAACACAUGAUGGGCUCAGAGUCUGAAGGACAUUGUCCCGGCUAGGACAAACAUCUAAUAACCAAACAGCGGAAUCUAGGGUUAUUAGAUGUCGGCAAAUCUUUCAGCCAAUGAAAAAUCAGGUCAUUGACUGAUGCUGACUUCAGACACAAACAGUACAUACAUUUAUGCUGACACAGACUCAGCGUCUGGUUACACAAUGCAUUCUUUAUCUAGCCAUCCCAAAAUAUAAAAUUCACCGCUACCUUUGAUACUACCACUAUACCCUUUAAAUUAACUUAUUCCAUUACUUUCCAGAUUGCAGCUAACAUUAAAUCACCUUAAUUAUAGUCAUGAUUGACUGUUCUUUUUGGCUAUGAAUUACUUUUCUGCAAUUCAAAAC